UAGGGGGCAAGCGUUAUCCGGAUUUACUGGGUGUAAAGGGAGCGUAGACGGAGAGGCAAGUCUGAUGUGAAAGGCGGGGGCUCAACCCCCGGACUGCAUUGGAAACUGUAUUUCUUGAGUGCCGGAGGGGUAAGCGGAAUUCCUAGUGUAGCGGUGAAAUGCGUAGAUAUUAGGAGGAACACCAGUGGCGAAGGCGGCUUACUGGACGGCAACUGACGUUGAGGCUCGAAAGCGUGGGGAGCAAA
rnacentral:rRNA from 1 species